rnacentral:rRNA from 1 species
GACGGAGGGUGCUAGCGUUGUUCGGAAUGACUGGGCGUAAAGGGCGCGUAGGCGGCCGCUUGCGUCGGAUGUGAAAGCCCGGGGCUCAACCCCGGAACGGCAUCCGAUACGGGGCGGCUCGAGACCGAGAGAGGUGAGUGGAACUGCGAGUGUAGAGGUGAAAUUCGUAGAUAUUCGCAAGAACACCAGUGGCGAAGGCGGCUCACUGGCCCGGUACUGACGCUGAGGUGCGAAAGCGUGGGGAGCAAACAGG